rnacentral:lncRNA from 1 species
UGCUUCUAGAUGCCAUGGGGUGGGGAAUCCCACUGGUUUCUGGUUGUGGGUGUUUCGUUGCUUUUCUAUUGCGAAUAUGUUAAGUAUCCUGCUGGGUGUCAUUGGUAUCUUUGUGAUAUUAAUAUAUGCCCUUUAUAUAAAAAAAGUAUCCUGCUUAUUAUCAUCUGCAUUGGUUACAAGUGCUUGCAGCUAUUUGGUGAUUAUAAUUCUCAGCCUUUUCCUUUUACUGGACUUGUUGCUCGUAAUUUAACCCCUCACGAGAAAUGCUUCUGUGCUCUGAUACUUCUGUUUCCAAAAGUAUCCAAUGUGCACAUUUUGUUCUUUCUCCAUGCAUAUUAGGAAAUCCAUUACAGAGUGACUAGGAAUGGUUUGAGAUGCUUAGCACAGCAGCUUAGUCUCUCUCUGUUGGCAACAAGUCUGUUGUUUUGUUCCCUUUUGCCUGUUCUCAAGUGGAACCUUGGUGUGUCUACUUCGUUGUCUCGGGUGUGAACUUCUUAGAUUCAAUUGCAGGCAAGCAUUUCCAUUUUUCCUCCACAGUAAAAUGGGAAGGGGCCAAUUUCUAUGUUAAAUAGAUUUUUCUUUACACGUCUCAGUCCCCGCCCGUGCAUUUUGCUUGCUAUGUUGGAUUUACAGCUUAUUGGAUAGUUGUUUUGUUUAAGUUCUGAUUGUUUGAUUUUGCUAACCAUGUGCAGCCUCACAUGGCAAAGUUUGAUAUGUCAUAAAUGUUUCAUAACUUCUAAUCCUCAGUCGAUACUAGAAAGUGUACCAAUUGUACUUCGUAGAACAGUCCGACUUCUAUGUUGUCUUCCAUAUCCUAUAUCCUACUCCCUCCGUUCCUAAAUAUAAGUCUUUUUAGAGAUUUCACUAUAGACUACAUACUGAUGUAUAUAGACAUAUUUUAGAGUGUAGAUUCACUCAUUUUGUUCUGUAUGUAGUCCAUAGUGGAAUCUCUAAAAAGACUUAUAUUUAGGAACGUAGGGAGUAUACACCUAAAUAGUUCAUCCCGACUACCUCUAUUAUGUUAACAUGCACAUAUGCCACCUCAUCAAAGGCCCACCACAACAUGCAUGAAAAAGAAGUUUUUCAUUAUUAGUUGAUCACAUGCACACGUUCCACCUCACCACACAUGCCACCUCAUCAAAGUUCCACUCAACAUGCAUGUGAUUUUUUUUGCAUUAUAUUAUGCCACUUAUAUUCAAUAAAUAAUUUUUUUCAACUAUGCAAUAGUCAAAAUGCCAAAUACAAAUAUAUAAAAUGUAUUUUUAUUUUUAGUUCAUAUAUUAUUAAUUCAAAUAUGC